GUUCAAGGCAAAGCAGGAAUUCCCAGGCAAAACUUGUAUACCUUGAAAACAAGUCACUUUGGGGGAUUGUGGUAUGCCAGCGGAGGGCACGGUGUGAACGGAGAGGGCAGGGGAACAUGAAUAGGUCUACUCUGAUGGGACUGGCACUCUCUGGCUCUGCAGUGGAAUAAAAGUGACAGUGAGGAUUAGAGGAGAGUUCUUCAGCUUGCAGGAUAAGCUGAUCUUCCAUACUUCAGGCCAGUCUGGGGAUUGACACAUCAGAUGAAGAUAUGAAGUGGUGGGUGUGCAUGGAGGCAGGCCAGGCGCCCAGCGAGUCCCUGCGCUUCUCACUUGGUUAACACCUCACACAGAGCACAGAGCCAGGAAUACACUGCCUCUCUCGCUCUGUGACUAAAACAGUUAAUUUGGACCUGCAGGGUCUUCUGCUCCUCAGAGCCUCCACUGAAGGAGGUGGGAGAUAUUCUUAACUAAUGUCGGAAA